AGGAAGGUAGUGUAGUUAACACCUGCAUUAUUUGACGUUACCUACAGAAGAAGCACCGGCUAACUCCGUGCCAGCAGCCGCGGUAAUACGGAGGGUGCGAGCGUUAAUCGGAAUUACUGGGCGUAAAAGCGCAUGCAGGCGGCCUGUUAAGUCAGAUGUAGAAAAGCCCGGGCUUAAACCUCGGAAAUUGCAUUUAGAAAACUGGCAGGCUAGAGUCUUGUAGGAGGGGUAGUAAUUUCAGGUGUAGCGGUAGAAAAUGCGUAGAGAUCUGAAGGAAUACCAGUGGCGAAGGCCGGCCCCUGGAACAAAGACUGACGCUCAGAUGACGAAAGCGUGGGGAGCAAACAGGAUUAGAUACCCUGGUAG
rnacentral:rRNA from 1 species